UACGUAGGGGGCGAGCGUUGUCCGGAUUUAUUGGGCGUAAAGAGCUCGUAGGCGGUUUGGUAAGUUGGAUGUGAAAUCUCCAGGCUCAACUUGGAGGGGUCAUUCGAUACUGCCAUGACUAGAGUUCGGUAGGGGAGUGUGGAAUUCCUGGUGGAGCGGUGAAAUGCGCAGAUAUCCGGAGGAACACCAGUGGCGAAAGCGGCCACCUGGACUGUACCUGACGCUCAAACGCGAAAGCUAGGGGAGCGAACGGG
rnacentral:rRNA from 1 species